rnacentral:tRNA from 1 species
UGGUCUGGCUUCAAACCCGCGGAUGGAUGGAAAAGAUAGCCCGG